rnacentral:lncRNA from 1 species
CAUAUUUCUUCCUAAUACUGUAUAAGCCAGUAAACAAUGUAAAUUAAUACACUAACAUCCAAUACACGAUUUACUUUUUCCUUUUUUAAAAAAAAUCAUGGAUAAAACCAUUCUGCUUAAGCAAGUAAACAUAAAAUUGAGACUCAUGAACAACUCUAUAUCUUUCAAAAUUCUUUACUACAUCUCUAGUUCUAUUACAUACUAUCUAAUUACACUUUACAUCCAAUUAAGAAGAAGAGAAACAAAAUGUGGAAUGAAAAGUUACUUUUAAAUCCAACUAAAAAUUAGACAAUAAACGACACAAUUUUAGUAAGUGAUAGAGGUUGUCACUAAAAGUCAAAAUAUCGUUAAGUAAAUAAAUAUACACCAAAUAAAGGAAGCCACUUGUCCAUUUCAUGCACAAUCUAUCCAUUUCUUUGAAAAAUAAGUAAGUCAACAAAAAACUUAGGCUUAU